UGCCAGCCGCCGCGGUAAUACGAACCGUCCAAACGUUGUUCGGAAUCAUUGGGCUUAAAGGGUUCGUAGGCGGUGCAGUCAGUCGGGUGUGAAAUCCCUCGGCUCAACCGAGGAACUGCGCCCGAUACUGCUGUGCUUGAGGGAGACAGAGGCGAGCGGAACUGAUGGUGGAGCGGUGAAAUGCGUUGAUAUCAUCAGGAAUACCAGUGGCGAAAGCGGCUCGCUGGGUCUCUUCUGACGCUGUGGCACGAAAGCUAGGGGAGCGAACGGGAUUAGAUA
rnacentral:rRNA from 1 species